UACGUAGGUGGCAAGCGUUGUCCGGAUUUACUGGGCGUAAAGCGUGCGUAGGCGGUGGACCAAGUCUGGUGUGAAAUCUCCCGGCUCAACCGGGAGGGUGCGCCGGAAACUGGUUCGCUGGAGUGCGGGAGAGGCAAGCGGAAUUCCAGGUGUAGCGGUGAAAUGCGUAGAUAUCUGGAGGAACACCCGUGGUGCAGACGGCUUGCUGGACCGUGACUGACGCUGAGGCACGAAAGCGUGGGUAGCAAACAGG
rnacentral:rRNA from 1 species